UACAGAGGUCUCAAGCGUUGUUCGGAUUCAUUGGGCGUAAAGGGUGCGUAGGCGGCGGGGCAAGUCGGAUGUGAAAUCUCAGGGCUCAACCCUGAAACUGCAUUCGAUACUGCCGUGCUGGAGGACUGGAGAGGAGACUGGAAUUUACGGUGUAGCGGUGAAAUGCGUAGAUAUCGUAAGGAAGACCAGUGGCGAAGGCGGGUCUCUGGACAGUUCCUGACGCUGAGGCACGAAGGCCAGGGGAGCAAACGGG
rnacentral:rRNA from 1 species